rnacentral:rRNA from 1 species
UGGCGGACGGGUGAGUAAUGUCUGGGAAACUGCCUGAUGGAGGGGGAUAACUACUGGAAACGGUAGCUAAUACCGCAUAAUGUCGCAAGACCAAAGAGGGGACCUUCGGGCCUCUUGCCAUCGGAUGUGCCCAGAUGGGAUUAGCUAGUAGGUGGGGUAACGGCUCACCUAGGCGACGAUCCCUAGCUGGUCUAAGAGGAUGACCAGCCACACUGGAACUGAGACACGGUCCAG